rnacentral:tRNA from 1 species
ACGCCCGUAGCUCAAUGGUAGAGCAGUUGCCUUAUACGCAAUUUGUUGGGGGUUCGAGUCCCUCCGGGCGUA